GGACAGUCAUCGCCGAGUCCCCGUACGGCGCAAGCCAGGGGAGCCGGGGACCCACACCAAGUCCCUGGGGUGAAUCGGACGCCCGCGCACCGCGAGGGGGUCCGUAGGAGACCUUCCUGCUCCGAACCCGUCAGCUAACCCGGUAGGCGAGAGGGAAGGAAAGG
rnacentral:sRNA from 1 species